GCCGUUCUCUCCUUCAUCCUUUCUCUCUCUCGCUGACCUGUAGCUAGUUCUAAAGAAGUAUACCUUCUCUAAACCUCCACGAUGGCUACAUAUAGAUUCAUCAGCUCCGAGGGGCCCUCAUACCACUGUAGAGUACAGAUGUAACUUGAAACACUACAAAAUGAUCAUGUAUCUCGUGGGCCUGGAUCUAGUCCCACGUAUGGACUUGAUCCGAGUCCCCCUCAUGGCCUGGGUCGAGUACCACUCAUGGACUACAGAAUUGCCAGGACGAUGACUGAAUUCCCCGGGCCACCCUAAUUCGUCAUUCUGGGCCACCGAACCGGACCCUGAAUGUAUCUUGGCCGUAUCUCCACCACCACGAGGUAAGGACCGUAACUGGGCUCUUGUUGAUGUGGGACUACAUGUUUCUGGGAUGAUAUCGCUGCAUAGGAAGUGCCGUCCGAUGCGAAACUGACGAUUGGAAAAGCUUUUCUGAGAAAUAAUAAAAUUCAUACUGCGGGAAAUCCACCCGAGAGACCACAUCUAACUAAAGUAUCUGUAAUCCACAAGGCGGUGAAGGACUCUGGUGACGCGAAGCAGAAAGUGGUAGAUGUGGUAGAAAAUUCCCUUUCUACCAUGAAAGGUAAAUUGAUGCAUUUUGUAUAAGCGCUCAAGCCAGUGAUGAAAAAAGUUAUCCCUGUCUGAACAACGGUGUUGACCAUUGGUAACCUGAGGCUUGACUUAACUUUUAAGAUGAAUAAAGCAAACUGUUUGGGACUGGCACCUUUUUCACUUCUCCUUUUCACGUUCUUGCAGCUCUGAAUCGACGACCAGCCAAAUGAGGAGGUCUGCUUGGACUGAAAAUGUAAAUCAAUGCACCUCUGAGUCACGUUGACUUGUGACGGGAGAUUGCUAGUUUGAAACCUGGCUCCUCCUAGCUGAGUGUUAGGUGUCAGUAACCCUAACGACGAGCUCUGGCUGUGUAUGAAUGGUUGUAAGUCGCUUAGGAUAAAUUGGCUUCCAACUAAAACUCUGAAGUUAUUGUCUUCAAGACCAGAAUCAUUGUUGGACCCGCUCUGGAUUAAAGCUUCUGCUAAAUGCCCUGAAUGUAAAUGCCCCUGCUAAUCCAAAUGUGUUGCUCUUAACAAUAAAACUGUAAAAUAAA